CCCAAAUAUCUUCUUACUGCAACCUACUUCUCCAGCCUUCCAGUUUUGCUGUCAUGGUGCUUUGUCAUACAACUAAGCAAGAAGAAAGAAGUAGCUGCAGAACCACUGUGAGAAUUAAACUACCCUUUACUUACCCAUCAGAAAAGCUGAGGCAAAUGUAGCUGAAUCACCUGAAUGGCUUCAACUGUAACAUAACCAUGGGAAAACUGGCAGAGUCUGAGCAAAAAAUGGAAAGUCCUUGAGAGUGAAGGAGGAAAGCAAGAAGAUCCCCUAAAGACAAAGAACACUUUAAACUCUGUCACAUUUCUUCUGUGUGGUAUACAUUUUACAGAGGAUGGAGCGGAAAAAAAAACUUUGGCCUGUCUUGGUGCCCUAAGUCGUGAGUGUUUUGUGCCAUGUCAGAAUGGAUGAAAGAGCCCAGAUUUGUAAUUCUUAUGUACGUAAAUUCCAAGUCCAGUCAAAAGGAAUCUUGGACAUGUGAGGAAUAGGAUCGAGCUGUAUUCCAUUUAGUGCAUUUGAGCAUGGUAAAAAUGAAAUGUAAGUGACUUCAGUAUUUAUGACAUUUUCCACUUGCUUUUCUUACAGCUGAGAUGUACUGUUAUUAAUAAGAGGAUGAAAAAUUAAUUUAUCUCAGUGAACUGAUAGUGAAAUCUGAUGGACUCACAAGAGAUGGCUGUUUCCUUACCAUAAACACUGACUCCCAUUACUAAGGAAACUGCCACUAAUCAAAUGUGUUUCUGAAGUACUACUAAAGGAUUUGGCACUAAAUUUCAAGAUAAUGACUGUUAUGUGAGGCUUGAUAUAUUCUCAGUCUUUUUAUUUUAAUCUGGUAUCAUUUUAUUCUUUUCUUACUUACUGGAAAAUGUGUGGUAUUGGUUGUUGUGGAAUUUGGGAUAUAAAUGUGAAUGAAAAUGGUUUACAUAAAAUAUGAAUUUGCUUUUGGGGAGCAGGGUGAAGGGGAGAUUACCUCCUAAGUGAUCCGACUUCAUAAGAAAUAUUAUGGAAAUAAACAGUAUCUAUCCCAUCCUCUAUGCUCCCUCCACCCACAGUAAAAAAAUGUUGGUUGAAUCACAUAAAAAUCUCAAGACAAUUCCAAGAUGAACUGACUCUGAGAGUAAAUGACCUCUUCAUCUCGGUGAUAAAGUUCCAGCCAAAAUAUUCUCUCGGCCUGAGACGUGAUUCAUUAGAAAUAUGUGCAUGGUGUGGAGCUGUACUCUCUAUCUGGCAGAGUCCGGCCUGCAGACUGAUAAGAAGCAAAUGCAAAUGUCCUGAUAAGAACUGAAUGCAAAUAUUUAUGAUAUGAUAUUCCCUGGGAAUUAUGUGCAGAUAAAACAAAGUGUAUUAUUUUCCCGCUUCUCUUUCAGGUUUGCCAAAAUGCCCUUUUUCGCUUUCGGAAUUUGCAUUUCUUCAAAAUUGAUUCGGCUUGCGUAUUAUGUUAAGCUAUUUGUUUGCUAAGGAUGGUAAUUAGUUACUGUAAUUACAGCAAUGACAGUUGCUAAAUUGUUUUUAAAGCAUUACAGUGAGCCUGUGCCAGAAGAUUGCAGUAUUUUUUUGGAUUUAAGCAGAGGCUGGAAAAACUCCCACUCUAAGGCCAGCAUGGGAUUUUCAACUACAAAGCUGCUUUUCCUGAUUGAAAUAUUUUUUUUAAAAAAAGAAAUCAUUAAUUUGCAUUGAUUGUAAGGACUAACUUUAAAUUUUGGUUUAUUCACAGAUCACAGAAAUAUUAGUGAUAAUGGGCCCUGUGGGGAAAGAGAUACAAGGGGAACUCCCAUCGUAAAUAAAAGUGAAAGCUGAUAGCAGAGGAAAAAUGGUAUAACUGUUACUCUGAGCCUGUUAAUUAAACUCUUUAGCCUGUUUUUAGAUAAAUUAAAAACAAUUUAAAAUACCAGAUUGAAAGUCAUUCCCUAACUUUUUUAACGUGCCCACAACUAAAUGAAAAAUUUGGAAAAUACUACCAACUCCUUACCGUACUGCUCUCUGACUUGGUUCAGAGUAGAAGAGGGAAAGGAAGAGCUUUUCCAAAUACCUUCACAAACUUACUUAGAAAGGUUUCCCUAUUUUAGCCUGAAAUACACAGCAGGUUUUUGUCAUUCUUGCUUAUAGAUUAACACCAGAUACUUUGCAAUGUCUGGGUGAACGUCUGGCACUAAACCCAGAAAGCUCCAAGUUUCAUCCUUUACCCCUUUCCCUCCAGCAUUUCCUCCAAUGGAGGUACUGUCACAGCAGGAAGAGCAGGCAGCUCAGCAGUGGAAGAGCCCCAGGCAUCUUAGCAUGAGCUCUUCCUCUUCCAAGACAUGUGGUCUCGGGAGAUUAGCCAGUGUGUGUGUGGGAACCCUAAGGCUUUCACCCAUCUCUUCAUUCUGUUCCUCCUUCCACCGCACCCCCGUAUAAUCUCAUUCCCCACAGUUUACAGGAAUGGACAUACUAUUACUCCCUGCACUUUUCCUCCUGCAGAGAAAAAGCUGUCUCCUUUAAGACUAUAGUUUUGCUUUGUAACUGCAGCCACCAACUUGCCACCUUCAUCGUUCCUCCUGGCUUUCCAUAAAGUCCUGUAACUUAGGAAUUUUCCUCAGGAUUGCUCCCAACCCUAGUAACCUUCCUCACUUGAAUACAUAUAAAACUUGCUUACAGAUUCUGUGUCCAGAUCAAUUUCUCUUCUUCAUUCACUCACAAAAAAUAAUCAAAUAAUCAAAUAUUAUGCCAAAACCCCUAUGUUUCCCUAUAUUCUAUCAUUCCCUAAAAAACUUCCCUUUGUCCCCUUCUACAUCAUCAUCACUGCCUCACUGCUGCUGACAGUAGCUGUUAAUAUAUUCUACCCUGCACACAUUAUUGUAUAUGUGUGUACCCUGAGCAUAUAUAUCUAUUGAACAGUCUGUAAUUCUUUUUAGGUGGACAACAUAUGACCCAUGAUUUGCACACAGACUUUUCUGUAUUGAUAAAUUAUCAGAAAAUAUUUUUUUUUCUAAAUUACAUAGUGUACUACUCAAUGGGCACAUCUACACAUGCACAUUUACUGUGUAGUAACUGAAAUGACUGUGCAGUAACCAAAAAUUACCGUGCAGUACGGGUGACUUAUGCCAACAUGGGAGUAAAGUAUGGGUAAAGUACAACAAAAAUCACUGUGGAGUAUGGGUAGCAGAAAAUUACCAUGCAGUACUGUGCAGUACAGGUAACUUAUGCUGACUUGGGUAUAAAUUUGAGACGUGCAUCAUGCAGGUAUCAAAUUUAUGCCUGAUUAGUUACUGCACAGUAAUGCACAUACUUACUGCCUUACUUCUCAGUAACACUGUGUGCGCGCACUGAUUUGGGACUAACUGUAGUCCCAAGUCAGUCCACACGCAGUGUUACUGAGCUUUAAUACCUGCAUGUGUGCAGCUUAAACACCAUUUAAACUUGCUUACUGCACAGUAAAUUUAUGUGCGGUAAAUACACAUGUAGAUGCACCCAAUACUAAUUAAAACGCCAGUUUAAAACUAAUUAAUUAAAGCUAAUUAAACUCCAGUUUAAAGACAUUCUCAGUUGGCCAACCAGAAGUCUAAUUAUUGUCUGGAGACUUCAGGACACUCCAUCAUUGCUUCAUCAUUGUAUCACUUACAAAUAAUUCCAUAUUCUGAGGCUUUGGAACAGCCCCAUCAUUCGUUGGAAAACUGGGGUGCUUCUUUAUUACACUUGUAACUAAAGCUCAGAAGAACUGGAAGUCCCUUCAAACCACAGGAUCACAGAGAAAUCUUUUUCACUGGGAGAAUAGCAAACUAACAGUAGUUACAAGAAACACAUGGUGUGACAUUUUGAGGUUACUUUCCUAUGCUACAUAUAAACUUACAAUAGCAGAUUUUGACUGAGCAGCACUAGAUCAAAGAACAACUUCAAGGAGCAUAAGUUAAGAUUCAAAUAUCAGCUAAGUUAUUGCUUAGUUACAGAAAGAAAAACAUCUCUCCACAAGUGAGAGAUUUUUCUUGUCCUAAGUUUCAAAGGCUUGCUACUUACUACAAAGGUUUUGGGGCUGAUAUUUUGAUUAUGUACAUUCUGAAACUCUUCCCAGUGAUUUACUACCAGGACCCAACACAGGCAUAGAAAACAUAUCAGGGCAUGAAGAACCUGAUUGUCAACAAAGGCACUGUGCAGGUGUGUGGUUAUAGGGUUUCUGGCAAAGGGCAAAAGUAUGCUCUUAUGUUUAAUUUGGAGGUCAUACUUUAUAUGAAGUUUCCAUUUAAAAAUUCUUAGUAAGCAAUUAAAGGGUAUUAUAACUGUUUUUCAUAUGUGACUAGUAUGUGCAAGAGAUGGUUAUCAACACAUCUGCAGAUGUUAUCUAAUCUUAUCAGCCACGGACUUAAACAACCUAAUUCCCUAUUUGAUUUUAAACAAUACAUAACAUUUGAUUACUAUUUAAAACAUUAAAAACUAUUUAUAAAUGGAGCCAUAAAAUAAAAUUUUAACCAAUUUAAGAGUGAGAAUCUUGUAGUUUUCUCAUUAUUAUUGGCAAAAAUGCCAUCUCUUGAAUUAACUGAGGACUAAUAGCUGAUGAAUUUCAUUUAUGUGUAUAUAACUUACCGGGUAAUAAUUGUAUUUUCACUUAUUAAGAAAGUGUACAGAGUUUGGUAUGGGCAUUUGUUCCCCAUCUAAAGCAUCAAAUAUAAAUAAACAAUUGGAUUUACAUAUAGAACUGAUUGAUUUACAAAACAGAAUGAGAGGGGCAUCUAUCUAGCCACAUCUUUGUAAGAGCACGUGCUUUUCACACUUGUUUACAAUAUUAUACACAUACACACACGAUACUUAUGUGCAUAAAUGCACAAUGUGUAACUUAAUAUCAGAUCCACAGUGAUACAAAGAUAUGUCAUAUGCAAAUUAACUCAGAGACAACCACUUCAAGGUAUAAAGGAAGCUGUAAUCCAGAUGGUUUCUAUGUUGCUAGUCCAAAUAUGAUAGAAUAAAAAUUGCAGUCUAAAAGGCCUUAAGUUAUUUAACAGGUGGCAUUCUUCAGUCCUGAGCCAGGGAUACCAACUCUUAUGAGUCUAUCACAAAUAUGGUAUUUGAUGUUUUUCUUAAAGCACAACAUUCUGUUAGAAAAAAAAAAAAAGAAUUUCUAGACCAUAGCAAUGCUGGGCAAAGCUUGAAAAUGUGACCCAAGAGCAACUUGAAGACUCAGGCACUGGAAGACAAAGACAAAAAAACUUAAAUGUGUUAUCUUUGUUAAAUUGUAUGAUUGUUAAAAAUAAUACCAAGGUUAUUAGGUUUUCUUUAUUUUUUUGAUUGCUUGGGGUUGGGAAUACUAUGAAUCAUUUCAACAGCAUGCUAUUAGGGGACGCUGGACAAAGUAACAAGCACUGAACUUUACAAUACUGUUAAGGGAAAGUUUGCUCUGGCUGGAUGAUAAAUUAAAUGAUUAGGCUUA